CUCAGGGGUUGCCCAGGCUGAACGACGCAAGGUAUCUCUCAUGUACCCAAUGACUUAGAUAGGUUGGGCUUCUCUGUCUCUCAAGCCUUUCAUUCCAUGGGAGACACUUGCCAAGAAGUAAAAGCUUCGCUGUCUCUCAAGGCCAACGUCAGAAAAACUCACUCCUGGGCUUUUUGUUACACCACACAGGUCAAUCAGAGCAAGUCCCAGGGCCAGGCAGACUCAGAGGGCGGAGAAACAGAUUUUCCCUCUAAAUGUGAGGAGUGUCUGGGGCCAUUUUAAUCCCUCUGAGAGGGAAUUGAGAAUUUAUACUAGAAAUCAUGUUUAAUUAAGAAAGAGGGAGCUUUCUCAAUAUCGUAUGCAUGCAGAGUUUGCGUACCUGCUCAAUAGGCAAAGUAUGUAUUAAAGUCCCAAAUCCUUGCUAAGCUUGAGCCCCAGAGGACAGUGUCUUUCAGACUCUGGGGGUGUCAUUUCCUAGCUAUGUCAACAGGCUGCCGAAUGCCCAGUUAGAAACCCAAUUUAGAUCCCUUACAGAGGCUGUAGCACUUUACAUAAGAAGACAAAGAGUAUGGGGUGAGUUGGUACGUGUGUGUGUGUAUGCUUGUAUGUAGCCGGACUUUUUGGUUACUUAUGGGUUCUUUUAUCUACCUCCCUAUACCAUCUUUAUCCCAACACUAAAAAGGAGAGAAGGCUGGGAGGAAAGGGGAGGGGGUCAUCAAUAUUAUUAGAGUACUUCCUGCUGAUUACGGCCAUUAAGUUCCUCAGGGUGAGUAUGAUCAUCGUCAGAAUAUCUCCAAGCAGCAAGCAGCAAGCAGCAAGCAGCAAGCAGCAAGCAGCAAGCAGCAAGCAGCAAGCAGCAAGCAGCAAGCAGCAAGCAGCAAGCAGCAAGCAAGCAGCAAGCAGCAGUGGCACUGAGUAAGCUGGCUGUGCUCUGAGUUCCCCACAGGGGUGCUGAUUGAGAGAGGUAUUCCUUCUGAACUCUGCCUGACUGUGCUCUGUCUCCCGCUGUGCUGGCCAUACAAGCUGUGUGCACUCUCCUGCAGAGGGCUGACUGUUGUGAAAACCUUUGCCACAUAAACAGAAACAAGACAAGGGCUCUUGCAGAUACGAAUGCCAGCAACUUUUCUCUUACAACCUCUGGAACACAAUUUCCUCAGCUCAGCCAUGUGACCGGGAAGAAAUACCAGCUUGAAGAGCAUCUGAGGUUGGAAGUUCAAGGCCAAAGUGUUCACAGAUGGAAGGUCUAGUCAUGUUCAUUGCAAGAGCCAAACAACACUAACCCAGACCCUCCUAACAGAGGGACACAGACAUUCAGACCACAGUACCCACAGACUUGAAAGAGCCAAGUUAUGACCUGAAGGUGCUCCAGCGGUGAAGGUCUCAGAGGGAAGGACAGCUGGCCUAUGUAGGUGCAGAUGUCACCCUGCUGUCACCCUGGCCCAGGUGUCCAUGGAGACCAGAGGCAUCAGAUUCCCUGGAGCUGUAGUGACAGGCGGUUGUGAGCUAACGGACAUGGGUGCUAGGCACCCAACUGGGGUCCUCUGCAGCACGCCACUAACUGCUCAGCCAUCUGUUCCUCUCCAUCCGUGUCACCUGGUCUUCUGUUCGUUCUCCCUCCUGGACCGCUUCCAGUUCAGCACAGUGUGGCCGCCACAGAGCAAGGCAAAACUAGACCAGCAAGGAAGAUAACUUUGACAGAAGCUUCUUCAUCCUGGGGGAGCCACUGUCUUCAAAUAUGCAAGACUCAAAGACCAACAGAGGCCUCGAGGGAGGUGAUUACACCAACUAACGUCGGGAGCCUGUGCCCAGUGGAGACUAGGUAGAGAAAUGUUUUCAUAACAUUUUUAAAUUAUAUUUUUAUUAUUUGAAAAUCAUAUACAGGUCUACAAUAUAUUUUGAUCAUAUCCAUCCAUUACUACCUCCCUCCAGCUUCCCACACUGCCUUGCUUACUCUAUGCCUUCUUUCCAACUUCACCGUUUAAUUCACCAAACACUCCUUCCCCCAGAUUCUUUGAUUCACUUUACUAUAAAG